rnacentral:rRNA from 1 species
UGGGGAAUAUUGCACAAUGGGCGAAAGCCUGAUGCAGCGACGCCGCGUGAGGGAUGACGGCCUUCGGGUUGUAAACCUCUUUCAGCAGGGAAGAAGCGAAAGUGACGGUACCUGCAGAAGAAGCGCCGGCUAACUACGUGCCAGCAGCCGCGGUAAUACGUAGGGCGCAAGCGUUGUCCGGAAUUAUUGGGCGUAAAGAGCUCGUAGGCGGUUAGUCGCGUCUGCUGUGAAAAUCUCGAGGCUCAACCUCGGGCUUGCAGUGGGUACGGGCUGACUAGAGUGCGGUAGGGGUGACUGGAAUUCCUGGUGUAGCGGUGGAAUGCGCAGAUAUCAGGAGGAACACCGAUGGCGAAGGCAGGUCACUGGGCCGCAACUGACGCUGAGGAGCGAAAGCAUGGGGAGCGAACAGGAUUAGAUAGCCCUGGUAGUCCAUG